UUUUAUAUAUGAGUCGUCUAUUAUCAAAGGUGGCAAUCUGUGCAUUUGGACAAAAAAAAUGUUAUUGAUAUGUCAAUACAGAUUGAUUUGAAUAUAAUCGUCUCCUUCAAAGAAUACGGUUAAAAACCUGCAUUAAAUAAAGGUUAAUACAUAACCUGUUAUUUAUCUAAGAUGUCGUUCAGAAGAGUUUUGUGACUGCCAAUGGAAUACAAAUGAACAAUCACACAUGAUUAUAUCCCAAGAUGAACUACAGCGAACACUUUGAAUUUGGCGGCAAAGAUCCUAAUGAAAGAAAUAACCUGCGUCUUAUAUCACGUCUUUAAAAAAUUGGCGAAUAAAUGCUCUCACAGUUUGCAGUAAUGCAGCUACUAUGGUGUUACUAAUAGAAGCUAAUUUUUUGAAAAUAAAAUCACAAUUUUAAUUUUAA